GGUCUCAUUAAGUUGCUGAGACUGGCCACAGACUUGUGAUCCUCCUGACUCAGCCUCUUGAGUCUCUGGGAUUAUAGGUGUGUGCUACCACACCUGGCUAUAGUUUGGUUUUGAAAUGGGGCCUUGCUGGGUUUCCAGGCUGGUUUCAAGCAAUCCUCCUACCUCAGCGGAGGCAGAUGCUUGUUAGACUUUUGUCAAUAUUAUUUGCAAUAAGCAACAGCCCAUUUUGAAUAGCUGCAGGUAAUGCACAUUCAAGAGUAAUUUCUUUGUCCACUUGAGACCAUUAGUUGCUCCUUAUUUGCCACUCUUGUUGUCUUGCUUCACUCUUCUUGCUUUAGUUUCUUUUCUUUUUUGAUACCAGAAAUUAAACCUUUUAUCUUGAGACAGGGUCUCAUUGUGUUGCUUAGGCUGAGUCUAGCUUGAACUCGAGAUCUUCCUGUCUCAGUCUCCUGAGCUGCUGGGAUUACAGGUGUGCACCACCACAUCUAGCCUGCUUUAGUUUCUUGUCUAAAUAAAUCUACUUGUUUUAGCAACAUGUAGCCAGCAUUCCAUCAUGUAUCCAAGAUAGUUGUAAAGUCAAAUUUGAUAUGGAUUUUUUCCAAGAUGUUUCAUUUUGAGCUGUUCCUGAACAUUCCAUUAUAAUCUUUUUAUUAACCAAAGAAUGUUAACAGUAUCAGCACAGUUAGGCUGGGUUUCCUGACAAGUUCAACUAUGUGCUAUAGAGGACACAUGGCCCCAAAAAUGCUUCUGGAUAUUUGGCUAAGAUUCUGACUUGUUCACCUUAACUAUUUAUUUAUAGUUCUGGGGAUUGAAUUCAGGGACUCACGUAUUCUAGGCAAGUGUUAUACCAUUGAACUCUACCCCAGCACCUUUUAAAAAAAAAUAUUUAUUUUUAGUUUUCGACAGACACAACAUCUUUGUUUGUACGUGGUGCUGAGGAUCGAACCCGGCCGCAUGCAUGCCAGGCAAGUGCGCUACAGCUUGAGCCACAUCCCCAGCCCAACCCCAGCACUUUUUAAAUUUUAUUUUGAGACAGGAUCUUGCUAAGUUGCCAAGGCUGGACUCAAACUUGUGAUCUUCCUGCUCAGUCUUCCCAUAGCUUUCCAAGCAGCUGGGGUUACAGGUGUGUGCUAUCAUGCCUGACUACCUUUAUCUUUAUUAACCACAUCAGUGCCAUUACCAUAGAAUUUCCCUUGAUAAUCUUUUAAAGCAAUGCUUAAAAUCAAUAGUAGCUUCCCCAAAAUCCUUCCUUUGAGUCAAACAGUUAAAUACACAUGCCUGUUUCAUUUAGACCUACAUAGGUAUGAAUUUUAAAAUAAAUAGGAAUUAAUAUUACAAAAUGUUCCUCAGCUACUAUUAAAAACACUAUAUUAAUG
rnacentral:lncRNA from 1 species